UUUGGGGGAGGGGGCUGUGGGGUGGGCAGUGAGGCAGGGGGAAGGCAGCGGAGGUUUGUUUGAUUUCUUGUCCUUUGUUUUGCAUGCAUGGGAUUUGAGCAGGAGGAUCUAGUAGUUGUGAUUGUUUGAAUAGAAAAGCUGUAGCGAGAUCCUGGUGAGAUGACAGAAUGGCAGAGAGUCUCUGUGAUUGGAGGGUGCAGUACCAGUUUGGGUCGGGUGGGGGGGAGCUUGCUGUAGUGGAGGCGAUGGGAUUGGUGUGCAGUACCAGUUGGGGCCCGUUGGGGGAGCCGGUGGUGGGGAUGGUGAGGGCGAGGGUCUCGGAGGGGGGGCUCUGGAGGGCGCUGUUUCCAGGUGGGGUAGUGACAGGCAAGGAAGAAGAGGAUGACAAGGAGAGUGUAAACAAUACUAGUCAGUUCACCAUCAAUUUAUUCUCAGGGCAGCGCAUGUUCCCGGAUACUAAAACACCGUUGCUGAUGCUCUGUCUCACUUCUCUUUCCAGAAAUCCAGACAUCUGGCCCCAGAGUCUGAUCUCCCCUACAUAACUCCCCAGCUAAUAAACCUCACUCAUGCCUCACAAGAUGUAAUUAUCAACAGUCUUGCUCCCUGCACUCUUAUCUUAUUACCUGACAGGCUGGAACUGCUUCAAGUCCUACCACUCCGCAUACCAGCUGCCCUUCCCAUCUCUGGACAUCGUAUCCAUCUGCAAUUUCAUAACUCAUACUCACACCAUCCAAAAUAUCCGAUCCUCGACCAUUCAAACCUACCUUGCUGGCAUCAAAUUCUUCCUCAAACUUAUCACCGGCUCUCAAUGCACCGCUAUCUCCCACUCUCACAUAACCAUGCUAAUCAAAGGUUUUAGAAAACAGGAACCUACCAUCCCCAUUAAGCACCUACCACUCACCUCUGACUUACUCAGCCUCUGCAUUCAUACCCUACGUUCAGGCUACUCAUCCCCAAUGGUUGAUUCUACACUAGAAUCAAUGUUCCUGCUUGCCCUCUUUGGUUUCCUCAAAUGCUCCGAAUUUGCUCCGACCUCUUCUGUCUUCAACCCAUCUUAUCAUCCCAGACUAUCAGAUAUCGCAGUAACCACUUCAGAUUCUCUCAUAUUUACACUCUGAUGUAGCAAAAAAUAUCAGCUUGGGAUCUCUUUCACUAUUUACAUCUUCUGCUUAAAUUCCUACCUCAGUCCAUUUGAACCACUCAUCAAAUGCAUCAGCUCCAGGUAUACAGCUCAAGGAUCACCUCACGACCCUCUUUUCCUUACUGAAAAUGGAAAAAUGGCUACACAAUUCUGGUUCCAUAAAAACCUGCAUCAAGUCCUCCUCAUGUCAGGCAUAACAUCAGAGCACUACUCAGCCCAUUCAUUCCGCAUCGGCGCAGCAUCCACAGCAGCCACGCUUGGCAAAUCAGGUCGAACAAUUCAAACCCUCAGACGAUGGUCAUCUCAGGCAUACCUCUCCUACGUCCGAAAUGAUCUCCACGAUCUGCAUCAGGCCUACACUCAGUUAAGCUCCUUUUCAUUAUAACUCUUUGGGGGUUGGACUAAGCUUGGGCAGAGCUUCGAUUGAGAUGGAACCCCCAACCUUAGUCUCUCACUGCCGGACCUCUACAGAACCUCCCAGACCAACCAGACAUGCAACACUCCUCAUCAACCUCAUUAUCCAUCACAACAUACACACAUCAGACAAGAUAUAUGUACUCCUGAAUUUGUAUUAAAUAUUCAAACAUACAUCAUUGUGGCGUGGCCAUUGAUAGUGAAUGGUGUACUACAUAAGUUCAGGACUCCAGGCAGGCGGAGGGGCUGUUUCUGUUGCUGUUCUAAUAUCAAGUGGGAAGAUUUUUGAUUUUCUGUCUCUAAUGUAUACAGCAAGGAAAUGCUGGUUUUGGUUGGUUGAAAGCCAGACUGCUGCACUGCUGCAUUCUGGGUCAUCUGCAGAGGUUUGAGUGUGCAUGCAGGGAGGUGCGCCAGUAAGGAGUUGCAGUUGUCAAUUCGUGGUAUUAACACAGCCUGUACCAGGAGCUGUACUGCACACUUUCAUAUGGAUAAUGCCUGGAAUGGCAAGAAUUUCAUUCUUAGACAGGUUAAGCUAAUGCUGAUGUUUUCCAGCUAUUUGGGGCACAGGGCAUUUACACCAUCAGCCCCAGGGACAUGGCCAAUCCUCUUAUUUUUCUAGAUGACUAUCUGUGGGAGAGAUGAUUCAGCAGGGCAAGCAGAGUUUGACAAUGCACUGAGGUAAACCACAGGGCAGAGCCAAGUGCUGACCUAGUACCUUGCCCUGAAACUUUUUCUUGACAUCUUUGUAACCUUUCUUGGCCAUCAUCCCAUACAGAGAAUCAAAGAGACAUUUUAAACGAUUGCAGGUGUGUGGCAGUUGAAAGACAGCUAAUGUAAAUGUGCUGGUGUGUGAGGUAAAGAAGUUGUUGUUGAAAACAAUUUAUUGUACGCAGCAAAACAAUGCACAGGAGACAGGAUGAGAUCUGAAGAGCUGAGAUAGCUCUGUGGGUAGGGCAUCCAUGUACUGACCAGGGGCCUCAUGUAUCAACGCUUGCGGCGCAAGAAAACCUUGCGUACGCCAAAAUCGGCGCACACGUCCAGAUUUAUCAUCGCGAAACGAGCUUCGGUUCCAGCGCUAAUCAACGCAAAGUCAGGAGGUGGUGUAGAAAUUGGCGUUGAGCUGAUACUUGCGUUGACUGUGAUUCGCACUUUGGCGACGCUGUGUGGCGGUGUUUGGUGACUCACUAUAUGACAAGCGUGCACCACAUCCCCGUGGCCGAGCAGCACGUCGCCCCACAUGACGAACCAGCAGCAGACGGAGGGAUGCGAGCUGAUCCCUGCCGGGCCGCCGUCCUCGCGCGGGAGAAUCUCAUCACCACAGUGUGAAUGGGUAAGAAGUGAAUACACAGUUCAAUGAGCCAAAUUAAUUUAUUUUCUCCACCAGACGCUCGAGGACAUUUACGAGCCGGUCCAGCCGCUCGUUGAUCUCCGCGAUCCCCCUGAUGAUUUCUUCCUGCGAUUGCAGGACCCCCUCCGCGAGGACCCUUCCACUGCGCCGCGGCUGGUGGACGCUCCACCGCUUGUCGGCGCGCUGGUGCUGAUGCUGGUGCUGGUGCUGGGGCCGGGGGCCGGGGUGGCCCGAAUGCC